GACGAACGCUGGCGGCAUGCCUAAUACAUGCAAGUCGAACGCUGAAGCACUCUGCUUGCAGAGUGCGGAUGAGUGGCGAACGGGUGAGUAACACGUGGGAAAUCUGCCUAUAAGAGGGGGAUAACAUUCGGAAACGGAUGCUAAUACCGCAUAUAUUCUUGGACCGCCUGGUCCUUGAAAGAAAGACGGCUUUGCUGUCGCUUAUAGAUGAUCCCGCGGCGUAUUAGUUAGUUGGUGGGGUAAAGGCCUACCAAGACAAUGAUACGUAGCCGACCUGAGAGGGUGGUCGGCCACACUGGGACUGAGACACGGCCCAGACUCCUACGGGAGGCAGCAGUAGGGAAUCUUCCACAAUGGGCGAAAGCCUGAUGGAGCAAUGCCGCGUGAAUGAAGAAGGUCUUCGGAUCGUAAAGUUCUGUUAUAAGAGAAGAACAAGUCAAGGAGUAACUGUCUUGACUUUGACGGUACCUAACCAGAAAGUCACGGCUAACUACGUG
rnacentral:rRNA from 1 species